rnacentral:rRNA from 1 species
GAAAGGCGUAGUCGAUGGGAAAAUGGUUAAUAUUCCAUUACUUCUGUGUAAUGCGAUGAGAGGACGGAGAAGGCUAAAUCAGCCUGGCGUUGGUUGUCCAGGUGAAAGGAUGUAGGCAUGUAUCUUAGGCAAAUCCGGGGUACUCUAUGCUGAGAUCUGAUAGCAAGCUGUACUUGUACAGCGAAGUGGUUGAUGCCAUGCUUCCAGGAAAAGUCUCUAAGCUUCAGUUACACAGGAAUCGUACCCGAAACCGACACAGGUGGUCAGGUCGAGUAGACCAAGGCGCUUGAGAGAACUCUGCUGAAGGAACUAGGCAAAAUGGUACCGUAACUUCGGGAGAAGGUACGCUGUUGUUGGUGAUGGAACUCGCUUCCUGAGCUGACGACAGCCGCAGAAACCAGGCCGCUGCAACUGUUUAUUAAAAACAUAGCACUCUGCAAACACGAAAGUGGACGUAUAGGGUGUGAUGCCUGCCCGGUGCUGGAAGGUUAAUUGAUGGGGUUAGCGUAAGCGAAGCUCUUGAUCGAAGCCCCAGUAAACGGCGGCCGUAACUAUAACGGUCCUAAGGUAGCGAAAUUCCUUGUCGGGUAAGUUCCGACCUGCACGAAUGGCAUAAUGAUGGCGGCGCUGUCUCCAGCAGAGGCUCAGUGAAAUCGAAAUCGCUGUGAAGAUGCAGUGUACCCGCGGCUAGACGGAAAGACCCCGUGAACCUUUACUGCAGCUUGACACUGAACUUUGACCUUACUUGUGUAGGAUAGGUGGGAGGCUUUGAAGCUGGAACGCUAGUUCCAGUGGAGCCGUCCUUGAAAUACCACCCUGGUAAUGUUGAGGUUCUAACUCUGUCCCGUGAUCCGGGACGAGGACCGUGUCUGGUGGGUAGUUUGACUGGGGCGGUCUCCUCCUAAAGAGUAACGGAGGAGUACGAAGGUGCGCUCAGCGUGGUCGGAAAUCACGCGUAGAGUAUAAAGGCAAAAGCGCGCUUAACUGCGAGACCCACAAGUCGAGCAGGUACGAAAGUAGGUCUUAGUGAUCCGGUGGUUCUGUAUGGAAGGGCCAUCGCUCAACGGAUAAAAGGUACUCUGGGGAUAACAGGCUGAUACCGCCCAAGAGUUCAUAUCGACGGCGGUGUUUGGCACCUCGAUGUCGGCUCAUCUCAUCCUGGGGCUGAAGCAGGUCCCAAGGGUAUGGCUGUUCGCCAUUUAAAGAGGUACGCGAGCUGGGUUUAGAACGUCGUGAGACAGUUCGGUCCCUAUCUACCGUGGGCGCUGGAAAUUUGAGAGGAUCUGCUCCUAGUACGAGAGGACCAGAGUGGACGAACCUCUGGUGUACCGGUUGUGACGCCAGUCGCAUCGCCGGGUAGCUAUGUUCGGAAGGGAUAACCGCUGAAAGCAUCUAAGCGGGAAGCCUACCUCAAGAUAAGAUUUCCCUAGGACUUUAUGUCCUCUAAAGAGCCGUUCGAGACUAGGACGUUGAUAGGUUGGAUGUGGAAGCAUAGUGAUAUGUGAAGCUGACCAAUACUAAUUGCUCGUGAGGCUUGACUAU